rnacentral:rRNA from 1 species
GUGCCAGCCGCCGCGGUAAUACGUAGGUGGCAAGCGUUAUCCGGAAUUAUUGGACGUAAAGCGCGCGUAGGCGGUUUUUUAAGUCUGAUGUGAAAGCCCACGGCUCAACCGUGGAGGGUCAUUGGAAACUGGAAAACUUGAGUGCAGAAGAGGAAAGUGGAAUUCCAUGUGUAGCGGUGAAAUGCGCAGAGAUAUGGAGGAACACCAGUGGCGAAGGCGACUUUCUGGUCUGUAACUGACGCUGAUGUGCGAAAGC